rnacentral:lncRNA from 1 species
CCUGAAUAUGCAUUAAAUAUUUGCAAUUGGAAGUAAAUCACAAUUAAUCAAUCAAUCAUUUCACUGUCCUUCAUUUGUAAAAAUCCUUGUUUUUUGGACUUAGGUCGUUAGUUGCCCGUUGACAACCGUAGUACAUCUCCGUAUUUUUCUUUCUACGAUGUUUAUCCACACCAUGGUAAAUACCCAUUGAAAAAUAAUAUUCGCACAAUUUCAAGUCGACCUACCUCCUCUUUCAAAAAGGUGAAUACAAGACGCUGUCAAAUUGGUUUUAAUCCCCACUUCCACUCAUAGCACAAUUGCAUUAAUAUAUAUAUAUUGCCAUUUUUCUUGCAAGGACAAGCAUAGAAAUGUUAGACAUCGAAUAAUUCUACUGGAGAAGAUAUGUUGUAUCUUUAUUUUCUUUGAGCUAAAAGAAAAAUGUGUUUGUGUGUGUGUGUGUGUUUCCUUGAUUUGUUUUUUUCUUCAUGUAUUUAUUUAUUUAACAAACUGAUCCUUUCUUUUUUUUUUUUUAUUUUGUAAGGUUGGUCUUGCAUCUUCUUAAUUAAACCAAGUUAAAGUUUAUCGAGUAAUAGAAAUAUGGUCUAUUUGGUCUUCACCAGAUCGGCAGUAAAACCCUUGCAAAGGUGAGGCGUCCGUUUGGGGUUCGGGAUGUAUAAAUACACAGCAACGUCAUGUCAGAAUGGGACAUUAAUUCCCAUGCAUUGUUUAGAGAGAGUCCAGCCCUCUUGAAGAACUCUUAUACAACAACACCUUUGCGGGUCCGUAGGUGGCAAGUUCUGUCCAUCCAAUAUAAUCUCAUUUAGUAGUGUCAAUCCAAAUAAUCCUCCAUUCAUCCUAGUAGAUCCGUUAUACAGGACCAACCUAUCGUAUCUAUUGUAUUUAUAUUUAAUUUUCGUCCUGAAAAUGCAUGUGCUAUUUGCCACUGGACACUAAGCAACCAACAAUCAGUCAAAUAUUCUUUCAUUUAUUUACCUCAUGUUUAUAGGUGUUGUACUGUAUUUCUUGGGUUUUUUUGAUGUUAUUCAGUUUCUUCUUUCUUUUUUUAUUCCGUCUACCUACUCUUAUGUUAUUGUUUUUUGUAAGACAUGUUUGGGUGUUGGAAGAAAGAAAAGUUAAGACGAAUAAUACUGAUAGUUUGAUAUGGUGAAUUGUUGACCACUCCUCGCGCAGUCUGUUAUUGUAAUUCAUAUUAAAAGUGAAUUCAUUGUGGUUAUAUGAAGUAUGUAGGAACGACAAAGAAAAAGAUUUGUGUUGUAAAAAACAUACAGCUGGUUCAAUGGUAAGAUCACAAUAUACGAGCCUGUUAUAGUUACCAAUCUUGUUAAAAU